rnacentral:rRNA from 1 species
UACGUAGGGGGCAAGCGUUGUCCGGAAUCAUUGGGCGUAAAGAGCGCGUAGGCGGCCCUGUAAGUCCGCUGUGAAAGUCAAGGGCUCAACCCUUGAAUGCCGGUGGAUACUGCAGGGCUAGAGUCCGGAAGAGGCGAGUGGAAUUCCUGGUGUAGCGGUGAAAUGCGCAGAUAUCAGGAGGAACACCGAUGGCGAAGGCAGCUCGCUGGACGGUACUGACGCUGAGGCACGAAGGACCAGGGGAGGCAAACGG